rnacentral:rRNA from 1 species
UAGAGUUUGAUCAUGGCUCAGGAUGAACGCUAGCGGCAGGCUUAACACAUGCAAGUCGAGGGGCAUCGGGAGGAAAGCUUGCUUUCCUUGCCGGCGACCGGCGCACGGGUGAGUAACACGUAUGCAACCUGCCCUCUUCAGGGGGACAACCUUCCGAAAGGGAGGCUAAUCCCGCGUAUAUCGGUUUCGGGCAUCCGAGAUCGAGGAAAGAUUCAUCGGAAGAGGAUGGGCAUGCGGCGCAUUAGCUUGACGGCGGGGUAACGGCCCACCGUGGCGACGAUGCGUAGGGGUUCUGAGAGGAAGGUCCCCCACACUGGUACUGAGACACGGACCAGACUCCUACGGGAGGCAGCAGUGAGGAAUAUUGGUCAAUGGGAGAGAUCCUGAACCAGCCAAGCCGCGUGAGGGAAGACGGCCCUAUGGGUUGUAAACCUCUUUUGUCGGAGAACAAAACCCGGGACGUGUCCCGGACUGCGUGUAUCCGAAGAAAAAGCAUCGGCUAACUCCGUGCCAGCAGCCGCGGUAAUACGGAGGAUGCGAGCGUUAUCCGGAUUUAUUGGGUUUAAAGGGUGCGUAGGCGGUCCGUUAAGUCAGCGGUAAAAUUGCGGGGCUCAACCCCGUCGAGCCGUUGAAACUGGCAGACUUGAGUUGGCGAGAAGUACGCGGAAUGCGCGGUGUAGCGGUGAAAUGCAUAGAUAUCGCGCAGAACUCCGAUUGCGAAGGCAGCGUACCGGCGCCAGACUGACGCUGAGGCACGAAAGCGUGGGGAUCGAACAGGAUUAGAUACCCUGGUAGUCCACGCAGUAAACGAUGAAUGCUGGUUGUCCGGGUCGAAUGAGAUCUGGGCGGCGAAGCGAAAGCGAUAAGCAUUCCACCUGGGGAGUACGCCGGCAACGGUGAAACUCAAAGGAAUUGACGGGGGCCCGCACAAGCGGAGGAACAUGUGGUUUAAUUCGAUGAUACGCGAGGAACCUUACCCGGGCUCAAACGGGAGCGGAAUGGACCAGAGACGGUUCAGCCUACGGGCCGCUUCCGAGGUGCUGCAUGGUUGUCGUCAGCUCGUGCCGUGAGGUGUCGGCUUAAGUGCCAUAACGAGCGCAACCCCCGCCGGCAGUUGCUAACGGGCAAUGCCGAGGACUCUGCCGGGACUGCCGCCGCAAGGCGAGAGGAAGGCGGGGAUGACGUCAAAUCAGCACGGCCCUUACGUCCGGGGCGACACACGUGUUACAAUGGGCGGUACAGCGGGAAGCCAGGCGGCGACGCCGAGCGGAACCCGAAAGCCGUUCUCAGUUCGGAUCGGAGUCUGCAACCCGACUCCGUGAAGCUGGAUUCGCUAGUAAUCGCGCAUCAGCCAUGGCGCGGUGAAUACGUUCCCGGGCCUUGUACACACCGCCCGUCAAGCCAUGGGAGCCGGGGGUGCUUGAAGUGCGUCGCCGCGAGGCGCGCCCUAGAGCAAAACCGGUGACUGGGGCUAAGUCGUAACAAGGUAACCGUAA